CUGGGCCUUUUGCUCACCCUCUGCCCAACCCCAUCUUCUGAGACUGCUGCCUGGACCAGAGAAUCCAGUUUCUACUUGUCCAGGCAAACACUAUGCAUGACAGCCGAAGUUAGAAAGGAACAUGGUAUUUCAGAGAGAGAAAAAAAGAAGUCUAGAGUGCCUAGAGAAGACAGAGCCAAGGAAACAGUGGCUGAAGAUGCAGCUGGAGAAAGAUGCCGGGGCCAUGUAACACACCGCCUUUUAUGCAGCAUUAGAGUCUGCCUUGUGACAUACAGGCCAUUUUGCUGAUAGGUGGAAGACCACUGAUGAGAAUGACGGAAACCAAUGGAGCAAGAGGAGGAGAGGCAUCACUCAGUUAAUCCAGGUUAAUCAGAAUUCCAAAAACAAGUCAGCCCUGGAGAAAGAGUUGCCCAAACACCUGGAUUUGGUUCUCCCAGCUUUGGUUUACACCCCGAGGGUGCCUAGGAUGGUGGUGGGCAAUACGUGGAAGAGUGGAAAGGUUGAACCCUGAAAGGUGUGAACAGGGGGCCAGUUGUAAAUGUCUAGCCUGCAGCCCAUCCAUCUCCUGCCUCAUGUUGACUGAAUGAAUAAGCACGGGUAUGGAUGGCCAUUGUUGAAAGUAGAAUGUCUUGAUAUAACUGCUAUCCAAGAUUCAUCAGACAAGUGCUCUGCGUGUAGAGAUGAGAGAUGAGUUCUGAUGGGAAGACCAAGGAAGGCUCCUGCCUGAGGAACCUCUGAUCCUCAUUCAGGGGUUAGACCUGUCUGCACCUGUGGGAGCUGGUGGUGCAGUCUCUUGUUGGUUGUGCACCCCAUCUUAGGAUCAAGAGAUGGAGCCGUUGGGUCAGCAAGGUCGACAAGUGAGGAAGCAAGCUGGGUGUGGUUGAGAGCGGGGAGCCGACACUUAUGAACUGGAGCCCGACAAAAUCAACCGUAGCCUUCAAGAUCAAAUAGGGCCCACACCUGUGUCUCCCCACUGGCAGCCCCGACGCCGCUGAGGUGGGGAGAAGCUGGGGACUCCUCACAGAGAUGCACACACCUGCUCUGAACCUCGGAAAAGCCAAAGGAGCAAUCUCGCGAGAGGUGGAGGUGGGGUGAAGUAGGAUGCUGCGUCACACCAGCCCCACCCGCUACGGGGUCAGGGUGAUGUGCACACACGUGGGCUGUGGGCCCUGGAGCCUAGCUCUGACCUUCCAAGCGCCCCAAAUAUGGCUGCGACUGCCCUUCCUCUCCUCCCAGCAAAUGUCUCUUGUGACCAGCGCUAACCCAGAACCGUACAAGGAAAGGAAUCCGGAGAAACACAGAUUUGGCUGAACCAAGUCAAUGCACCACGGUUGUUAAGAAUUUCUACUCAUAAUAUUUGCAUUUUACACGUUAUCUUUCUGUGUAGAACAUUAAUAGACAUUGGACAGCCAAAAAAAAUCCUCUUGGAUUACACUUUUUAUGAUUUUGACUGUAAACAGUUUUAAAUAAAUUUUGAUCACAUCUCUUGAAAAUGUGCAAGUAACUUAAUCCCUCAAAUAUGACUUAUAUUUGAGUGUCUUAUUUAAUAUCCUAGCACCUACAGAUAACACUUAAAGAUGAAUGAAGCAGUUGUGUAGGAUUUUAAACUAAUGGCAACCCACUCCAUUAUUCUUGACUGGAGAAUUCCCUGGACGGGGGAGCCUGGUGGGCUACAGUCCAUGGGGUCCCAAAGAGUCGG
ensembl:lncRNA